rnacentral:rRNA from 1 species
GUGCCAGCCGCCGCGGUAACACGUAGGGGGCGAGCGUUGUCCGGAUUUAUUGGGCGUAAAGAGCUCGUAGGCGGCUCGGUAAGUCGGGUGUGAAACCUCCAGGCUCAACCUGGAGACGCCACCUGAUACUGCUGUGGCUAGAGUCCGGUAGGGGAGUGUGGAACUCCUGGUGUAGCGGUGAAAUGCGCAGAUAUCAGGAAGAACACCAGCGGCGAAGGCGGCACUCUGGGCCGGAACUGACGCUGAGGAGCGAAAGCGUGGGUAGCAAACAGGAUUAGAUACCCUUGUAGUCC